rnacentral:rRNA from 1 species
UACGAAGGGGGCUAGCGUUGCUCGGAAUCACUGGGCGUAAAGCGCACGUAGGCGGCUUUCUAAGUCAGGGGUGAAAUCCUGGAGCUCAACUCCAGAACUGCCUUUGAUACUGGAGAGCUUGAGCUCCGGAAGAGGUGAGUGGAACUCCGAGUGUAGAGGUGAAAUUCGUAGAUAUUCGGAAGAACACCAGUGGCGAAGGCGCUCACUGGUCCGGUACUGACGCUGAUGUGCGAAAGCGUGGGGAGCAAACAGG